CCUACGGGGGGCAGCAGUGAGGAAUAUUGGUCAAUGGGCGUAAGCCUGAACCAGCCAAGUCGCGUGAGGGAUGAAGGUUCUAUGGAUCGUAAACCUCUUUUAUAAGGGAAUAAAGUGUGGGACGUGUCCUAUUUUGUAUGUACCUUAUGAAUAAGGAUCGGCUAACUCCGUGCCAGCAGCCGCGGUAAUACGGAGGAUGCGAGCGUUAUCCGGAUUUAUUGGGUUUAAAGGGUGCGUAGGCGGGCAUUUAAGCCGGCGGUAAAAUGUCGGGGCUCAACCCCGGCCUGCCGUCGGAACUGGGUGCCUUGAGUGGGCGAGAAGUAUGCGGAAUGCGUGGUGUAGCGGUGAAAUGCUUAGAUAUCACGAAGAACUCCGAUUGCGAAGGCAGCUUACUAAACUGCCACUGACAUUGAUGCUCGAAAGUGUGGGUAUCAAACAGGAUUAGAUACCCUUGUAGUC
rnacentral:rRNA from 1 species